CGCUCGACAUCAGAGUUUGAUCCUGGCUCAGGAUGAACGCUGGCGGCGUGCCUAACACAUGCAAGUCGAGCGCGGUCCCUUUGGUGCUUGCACCAAAGACGACUGAGCGGCGGACGGGUGAGUAACGCGUGGGUAACCUGCCCUGUACAUAUGGAUAACAUGCUGAAAAGCAUACUAAUACAUAAUAACGUACAUUGAAGGCAUCUUCGAUGUAUCAAAGCGUUAGCGGUACAGGAUGGACCCGCGUCUGAUUAGCUAGUUGGUGGGGUAAAAGCCUACCAAGGCGACGAUCAGUAGCCGACCUGAGAGGGUGAUCGGCCACAUUGGAACUGAGACACGGUCCAA
rnacentral:rRNA from 1 species